GCCCCAUUUCUGUGGCUGAGAACGCGGUUGCCCUGGCGACCGGGACAAAGGGCGGCGCCAAGCCAGGGCCGGCGGGCGCGGAGCGGGUCCGGCGCUCGGCAUGGCGGGCCGGCAGCCAGAGUUCUUCGGUCCUGCUUCCAUCUGCAAGUCUGAGCUUUUCCCUUCAGCCGCCUCAUGUCUUUGCUCCAUAAUCCGCUCGAACCCCCUUCUAAACUCAAUCAGACUUUCCACCUUCAUCUCCAAUCCUCGGAUGUUUUCUUCCAUCAGCUCAAUCAGACGGCACUUCAUGCAGACAAAACUCUUCCCAGUUUCUUACUUCUGUUCAUAUUCAAGUGACAGGAUCAGAGAACUAGCAAGACCAAAGAAGCCUAAAGCAGCUUGGGAGAACUAUAGUAGUAGGUUAGAAUGGGGAAACCAGCAGACAAUUUGGCCCCUCUCCCUGAGUGCUUUGACGGCUCAGCCAACGCCAAGAAUUAUGUCUCUGGCCAAACCCAAGAAAAUUUUCGAUGGUAACCUUCAGCGCAGGCACCUCUUCCUGUACAGCUGUGGCCGGAUGUCAGAGAUCUGGCAGCGCCCACCGUUGAUGGAUUUAGCUUUACCGUCGCCUCGAAUAUUGAAGUUGGCAGAACCUAAAAAAUACCAAACAGUGUACUUAAAACAAAGGCCUCGUAGUUCUCCGGAGUGGCCCGUGCCAACAGCUGCGCUCACCUGUGAGGCUUCCCAGCGAGUUCAAGAACUUGCCUGUCCGAAAUCAGUGCAUCCAGGCUUCAAGCUAGACAGAAAGGUUGAAACACAAAUUGCAGACACUGCAAGGAUGACUCUCACCCCUCCAAGAACACAACGUCUUGCCCAGCCGAAGAUUCAGAAGAAUACUUUGUGCUACGACCGGGGAAGUCCCGAGUCCACGAUCCGCCCAGUAUCCAGGGCUGCCCAGCAAGCAGUAGCAAGUGUUCGGACACUAGAGUUGGCUAAAGCAAAAGAGGUGCCACACGAGUAUCUGCCUGCCCGUGAUACCGAAUGGCCAGUGACAAAGGCAGCAAAGCAUGCAGUGCCUACGCCUAGGAUUGAGGAACUGUCCCAGCCGUGCAAAAGAAGUAAGUACUGCCUAAGUGACCAGAACAUGAUUGGCACUGCAUGAACAGCAAUGCUGGGAAACCUGGAGUAGUGAAACUACCCUCAUCCUCCCAUCCAAUGGUGGGAUCAACAUAUGCUUUAGAUGACAAGGGUGGUAAUCAAAGAGGAAACUAUUUCAAAGUGCACGAGGAAGAAGCAGAAUGGCUCUCUGCAGAUACAGAGCCUAGAAGAAUUGUUACUCCAGUCACCAUGCACAAAGCGACUCUUCUGUAACUCUGUAAUGACUGAAGCAGUACGGGCCAGGUGUCACUGAAAAUUUUGCCCAGGUGGAAUUUUCAGAUGCCUCCUAAACACUCAGAAACAUUAGCUUGUGAGUCAGGAAGGCCGGCGGUGUUGCCAGCAUGGGGGAACAAGCGCUGAGGUCCCUGUACAGGACCGGGACCUCCGUGGGUGUCAAGCAGCAUAGCUCCAUUGACGUCAGAAUUCACCAUGAAACUCCACCUGCUGAGGAGCUGGCCGAAGGACUCCAAUGGAGUGACACCGGUUUACUCCAGCUGGGGGUCAGACCCAUUGAAUCCAAUGGAACUACACUGAUUUACACCAGCUGAGGAUUGGGCCCUCCAGUUGUUUGCAUCCAAGAGGGCUGCGUGACAAAUGAGUAAGAUCUUCUCCCACGGCUACAGUAACGUUGGGGCACAAUGGGGCACAGACUGGCACACGCAAAACUAUUUCUCACAGAGGUGAAACGUUCCUGUUUGUCCUUCUGCUAUGGCCACGUGGCGAGAGACGCUCAGCAUUGGCUGACCCCACAACUCCCAGUCAAGUCCAGGGGAGCUGAAGGUGCUGAGAGACAGGUGUUAGCAGUGUGGGGUUGGCCCCUAUGUUCCCGGCUGAGCGCUCUGUGUCUGGGCCAGUCUACACUGGCAACGCGAAAGCGCUGCUGCGGCCGGCACUUUAACGUGCCUUGAGUGGUCGUGGUGCAGCUCUAAAAAAUCCCACCUCCACCAGGGGCGCAGCUCCCAGCGCUGGGGCACUGUCUACCCUGGCGCUUUACAGCGCUGAAACUUGCUGCACUCAGGGGGGUGUUUUUUCACCCCCCCGAGCCAGAAAGUUGCUGCGCUGUAAAUUGCCAGGGUAGACAAGCCCUUAGACUUUGCUCAGUAAUGCAGGAGUAAUAAGGGUUCUGAGGCACUUUCCCAGCGCACCACGUACCUGUCUUGUCAUGUACACUCCGGCUGCAAAGCCAGCAAGUUUACACCCGGACCUGAAUGAACUUACCACCCUCGCCAUCUUGGUUAGAUCCUCAGCUGCUGUAAGUCAGCAGGGCACCCUGAUUUAAAGUAAUUCUGAAGUAAAUAGGAUGAAAUUCAAUAAGGACAAAUGCAAAGUACUCCACUUAGGAAGGAACACAUACAAAAUGGGAAAUGACUGCCUAGGAAGGAGUACUGCAGAAAGGGAUCUCGGGGUUAUAGUGGAUCACAAGCUAAAUAUGAGUCAACAGUGUAACACUAUUGCAAAAAAAGCAAACAUCAUUCUGGGAUGAAUUAGCAGGAGUGUUGUAAGCAAGACACGAGAAGUAAUUCUUCUGCUCUACUCCAUGCUGAUUAGACCUCCACUGGAGUAUUGUGUCCAGUUCUGGGCACCACAUUCCAGGAAAGAUGUGGACAAAUUGGAGAAAUUCCAGAGAAGAGCAACAAAAAUGAUUAAAGGUCUAGAAAACAUGACCUAGGAAGGAAGAUUGAAAAAAUUGGGUUUGUUUAGUCUGGAGAAGAGAAGACCGAGUGGGGACAUGAUAACAAUUUUCAAGUACAUAAAAGUUUGUUCCAAGAAAGAGGGAGAAAAAAUGUUCUCCUUAACCUCUGAGGAUAGGACAAGAAGAAACACGGGCGAUUUAUGUUGGAUGUUAGGAAAAACUUCCUAACUGUCAGGCUGGUUAAGCACUGGAACAAAGUGCCAUGGGAGGUUGUGGAAUCUCCAUCAUUGGGGAUUUUUAAGAGCACAUUGGACAAACCCCUGUCAGGGAUGGUCUAGAUAAUACUUAGUCCUGCCUUGAGUGCAGGGGACUGGACUAGAUGACCUCUCGAGGUCCCUUCCAGUCCUAUGAUUCUAUGAUUUCACUGGACUGAUGUUGAUUUACACCAGCUGAGGAUCUAGCCCUAGAUUUCCAAGCGGGGAUACUAAAGUGAAGGACCAGUCAGGUAGAACACACCCUAACGCAAGCAGUUGUCACGGUGGGGCUCUGCCAGUGCAUCUCAAUACUGACCCAGAGCAGCAUUUGUGUGCUCAUCUAGGGCCUCUGGGGGCAAAUGGCCGGCUUCUGCAUUUGGAAAUGUGCUCGUGGGGCGAGUGAUUUGUCAUAUGGCUAAACAGCUACUACCUGUUAGGGGUUUUAAAAAUUACCGUGAAGAAAAUCAUUUGGGCUUGCAUAAGCCCAGCCCUACAGAGCAGCGCUGCUGGGUUCAUGUAAACCCAGACAGCUUUGUAGUUGGAUGGACUUUGAAAAUAUUUCUGCGGAGCCACUUAGGUGACUACUUAUAUGAUUCUUAUCCUGUAUUAGCUGUGCACCUCCCAGUAUUUAAUUUGUUAAUCCGCACACCACCCCUGUGAGGUGGGGCAGGGCCAUUAUCCCCAUUGUCCAGAUGAAGAAACUGAGGUACAGAGAAGCUACAUGACUGUGGCCAAGCUGGGCACCUAGAUGGUCUUCUGCGCCCCAGGGUAAUGCCUUAAACACUGGAACAACCUUCCACUCCAGACUGGUCUUCUCACAGUCACUAUCAGCCAAACAGUGAAACACUAGGAGAAAUGCAGGUCCCAUGCGAUUUCAGGGUUUAAAAAAAGCACCUCCAAGCCAUAAACACAAAAGCCGGAUACAUUGACCCUCUGCAAAGCCCCAAUGAAUCUGCUGCAGCGACACCUUUGCUCCAAACGAGCAAGGAAGGCCACUUCACAGAGAACAGAGGUGUCCUCUAGUAGCGCCCCCCUCUCUCGCGGUAGCGCUGCUUGUCACAGCUGAGUCCGAGUCACGUUAGAGCAAAGCAAGUAAGCAUGGUAGGGACCAGUGGUGGGGAGCGGGUGUGUAAACAAAGCGCUUCCCACCUGUUUACACUUUUUAACGAAAAGCUCAUCAUCAGAGACUUGGAACAAAAGUCAGAGCGUUUCCCUUUCUAUGGAAUAAAAGUGAAAAUAAAGGAGCAAUGCAAUGAACAGGGGCCCAGCCUAUCCCCACGCCCCCGUGCAAUGCUUUCUCUCUCACAGGGGCCCACCCCCCGGGCAUUAAAGCCAAUGAGCAUCAGCGACCUGCUAACAACAGCUCUUCCCAGCGCGCUGCCAAGCCUUGCUCUCGGGGCGGGCUGCGCACAGUGCCGGCUUCCCCGGGAGCCUUUUCUGGCUCGCUGCCCCACUCCCGAACAGACCCCUAACCCGGGGGAGCCUUGCUGCCCCGGCUCGCGGCAGCCCCCUGGCCU